rnacentral:lncRNA from 1 species
AUUUGAAUAACUCUCCAUAGGCGAACCCCCAAGGAAAAUUUUGAGAUUUCUUCGUCAACAGACAUUCUGUGAAGUGUACGACCGGAGGUUGACCUUAUUCAUUUCCAGUGAACACACAUCCACCUUGCGCGAUAGGUUUCCAAAGUCCUAAAAAUCUCAUAUUACCCCAAUAUUGAACGCGAUCGCGAAGAUGAAGGACUCAUCCACCGAAUAUCUGAUUUUUAUAACCUUCUUCCAUGGGUCUGUAACACCUACUUAUGAAGAAUGUGCAGUGUCAUAGUGGGUUAAGUAAUGACAUAGGAAAGUAAAAUACAAGCCCAUGGUGUUCCAGAAUGUCAAAUUACUUUUGUAUGAUUUAUGUUUGGAAAUUUAUUUUAUUAUCGAGUAGCA